AACGAACGCUGGCGGCAUGCCUAACACAUGCAAGUCGAACGAGACCUUCGGGUCUAGUGGCGCACGGGUGCGUAACGCGUGGGAAUCUGCCCUUGGGUUCGGGAUAACAGUUGGAAACGACUGCUAAUACCGGAUGAUGUCUUCGGACCAAAGAUUUAUCGCCCAAGGGUGGGCCCGCGUAGGAUUAGCUUGUUGGUGAGGUAAGAGCUCACCAAGGCGACGAUCCUUAGCUGGUCUGAGAGGAUGAUCAGCCACACUGGGACUGAGACACGGCCCAGACUCCGACGGGAGGCAGCAGUGGGGAAUAUUGGACAAUGGGCGAAAGCCUGAUCCAGCAAUGCCGCGUGAGUGAUGAAGGCCUUAGGGUUGUAAAGCUCUUUUACCCGGGAUGAUAAUGACAGUACCGGGAGAAUAAGCCCCGGCUAACUCCGUGCCAGCCGCCGCGGUAA
rnacentral:rRNA from 1 species